AACGCACCUUGCGCUCCUUGGUAUUCCGAGGAGCAUGCCUGUUUGAGUGUCAUUAAUAUAUCAACCUCUUCAACUUUUGUUUGUCGGGUGUUGGAUUUGGGGGUCUUUUUUGCUGGCCCUAAAGGUCAGCUCCCCUGAAAUGCAUUAGCAGAACAAUUUGUGAACCGUUCAUUGGUGUGAUAACUAUCUACGCUGUUGACGUGAAACAAGUUCAGCUUCUAACAGUCCAUUGACUUGGACAACUUUUCAUUAAUGUGACCUCAAAUCAGGUAGGACUACCCGCUGAACUUAA
rnacentral:misc_RNA from 1 species